rnacentral:rRNA from 1 species
AAUGAACGUUGGCGGCGUGGAUUAGGCAUGCAAGUCGAACGGGCCGCAAGGCCAGUGGCGAAAGGGAGAGGAAUACGUAGAUACCUACCCUCUGGUUCAGGAUAGCCGCGGGAAACUGCGGGUAAUACUGAAUAACAUCUCCGGAUCAAAGGUGUGAUUCCGCCGGAGGACGGGUCUGCGUCCUAUCAGCUAGUUGGUGAGGUAAUGGCUCACCAAGGCUAUAACGGGUACUGGGUGUGAGAGCACGACCCAGCUCACUGGGACUGAGAUACUGCCCAGACACCUACGGGUGGCUGCAGUCGAGAAUCUUCGGCAAUGGGCGCAAGCCUGACCGAGCGACGCCGCGUGUGGGAUGAAGGCCUUCGGGUUGUAAACCACUGUCGGGGGGGAUGAAAUAUUCAAGGGUUCUCCCUCGGACUUGACAUAUCCUCGGAGGAAGGACGGGCUAAGUUCGUGCCAGCAGCCGCAGUAAAAC